AACGAACGCUGGCGGCAUGCCUAACACAUGCAAGUCGAACGAGACCUUCGGGUCUAGUGGCGCACGGGUGCGUAACGCGUGGGAACCUGCCCUUAGGUUCGGAAUAACUCCCCGAAAGGGGUGCUAAUACCGGAUAAUGUCUUCGGACCAAAGAUUUAUCGCCUUUGGAUGGGCCCGCGUUGGAUUAGCUAGUUGGUAGGGUAAAAGCCUACCAAGGCGACGAUCCAUAGCUGGUCUGAGAGGAUGAUCAGCCACACUGGGACUGAGACACGGCCCAGACUCCUACGGGGGGCAGCAGGGGGGAAUUUUGGACAAUGGGCGAAAGCCUGAUCCAGCAAGGCCGGGGGAGUGAUGAAGGCCUUAGGUUUGUAAAGCUCUUUUCCCCGGGAUGAUAAUGACAGUACCGGGAGAAUAAGCCCCGGCUAACUCCGG
rnacentral:rRNA from 1 species